CGGACGCCAACACAAUGCCCCUCUGCUUCGAUGCCGAGCUCUUGGUUUCCAUCGACGAUGACCAGUUGUUGAAGAAGAAGAAGAAGAAGAAGAAGAAGCAGAAGCAGAAGGUGGCGGAGUGAGGACUCGCACAAGGUAUUCCGCUGUUCGAUCAUAAAAAGGUUUUGGAUGGUUCGUUUCGUUUCGUAGUUUCACCAUUUUAUUCGAAUUAAUCACACGAUGGGUUUUGGGUCCAUGAAAUCAGAUGAGAUGUCUUCACACUUGGUGUCCAUAGGAUUUGGCAUCGACAACUCUUUGAUCUGAAUGACUCAGAGUUGUCUUAUUUGCGUUCCAUUAUUUUGUAUGGAGGGGUUCUGAUCCCACAUACAGCAACAACAACACUUGUCGUGGGUUCCGUGAAGGUCCUUCUAGCGCAAGUAAAUGUUGAGUGGAGUUCGAGUCAUACACGGAAAGCCAUCUCUUUUAAGCCAGUGUGUAUCAAUCAGUUUGAAACCUUGCUCUUUCCUCUACCCCUUUCCCUUUCGUUCCCAUCUUACUCACCACAUACAAGAACUGAAACGAGCUCACCAACAUGUAACCUCUCCAGAUUUGGUCCUCACAAGAAUCUUACCAACUUAGAUGGGAGUAUUUAACCCUCUCUCUCUCUCUCUCUCUCUCUCAUCUUUGAAGUACUGUGUUAGUUGUUUAGCGAACGUAGAGACAUCUGGAUUAAGCUACUGCAAAAAAAAGGAAAAAAGAAAUCCUUACUGGGAACAUCUGUAUUUAGUUGUUUAGUGGUAACUACCUCACUUCAUCAUAUCACCUAUGAUUGAGUUAAGUGUAGGAACUACCUUAUAGCUUCUAGAUCAUGAGUCACUACUUAGAACAUGCCUAUAACUACUUAGAAGAUAGUAACUACCUAAAUAACUACUAUGAAUCAAUUCUCAUCACUCCCCCUUGAUUCAUAGUUACAUACACUAAUUUACGACAUGAAAUAAACAUGCUUUUAAAUUUGAAGCGGCUUGGUGAGGAUAUCCGUAACUUAUUUAUCUGUUCCACAAUACUUGAUUGCUAUGACUCUAUUUACUAUAAGAUCCUGGAUGAAAUGAUAGCGUAUCUUUAUAUGCUUCGUUCUUCCAUGAAAUGUUAGAUUCUUCGUCAUUGCAAUUGUGGCUUUGUUAUCACAAAAUAUUUUCGUUGCUUCUUUUUGUUCUUAAUGAAGAUCUUCCAGAAGUCUUAUAAGUCAUAUUACUUGACAAGCUGCUGAUGUUGCGGCAACAUAUUUUGCUUUCAAUAUUGAUAACGUAAUUGUUACUUGCUUUUCUGAACUCCAAGAUAUAGCUCCUGUUUGGAGGCUAAAAAUAUUACCUGAAUUACUUUUUUUAUCAUCUAAAGCUCCUACCUAUUCACUAUCAACGAAACAAAAUAAUUUAUAUUUAAAAUUAUGAGAAUACCAAAUACCAUAAUUUGUAGUUCCAGCAAUAUAACGUAGAAUUAUUUUAACAACUCUGAGAUGAUGUUUGCUUGGGCUAUGCGUAAACUUGGAUACUACACCAACAAAGAAGGUAAUAUCUGGUCGAGUAUGAGUUAGAUAAAUCAAACCUCCAACCAAACUUUUAUAGUAUCUUUAAUUUGUCAAACAUAUAUCAACUUCAAGUUUCAAUUUCUUAUUUACAUUCAUGGGUGUUGUUCCAACUUUGCAAUUAAUCGUAUUAGAUUUUUUGAGUAGAUCCAUUGCAUUCUUUCUUCAUGAAAUAAAAACUCUAUUUGAUCCUUGCUUCACUUCCAACCCAAGAAAAUAGUGUAAUAGACCUAGAUCAGACAUUUCAAACUUAUUCAUCAUGCAUAUUUUAAAUUCUACUAUAAAAGAGUUAGAUGAACCCAUAUAUAUAAUAUCAUCAACAUAAAUGCAAACCAUCAGAAUAUUAUGUUUACCUUCCUUUUUUAGAUAAAGAGUAGGUUCGUUAUUACUCCUCUUAAAUCCAUUUUGAUGAAAAUAAUAAUUAAUUUUAUUAUACCAUACCCUAAGAGCUUGUUUAAGCCCAUAAAGAGCUUUCUUUAGCCUAUACACCUUUUCUUUAUAUUCUUUAACCAAAAACUUUCAGGUUGAGUAACAAAAAUCUCUUCAUGUAAAUCUCCGUUUAAAAACACAAAUUUCACAUCAAAUUGAUAAACAUGCCAACUCAAGUGAGCUGCGAAGUCAAAAAAGUUCUCACAAUUUCGAAUUUAGCAACCGGAGAAAAAGUAUCAUCAAAAUCAAUACCUUGUUGCUGUGAAUAUCCUUUUAUUAUAAAUCGAGCCUUAUGCUUUUGGAUAUUUCUAUCUACAUUAAACUUUGUUUUGAACACCCAUUUUAAUCCAAUAGUUUUUUUUUUUCUUUCGGUAGAUCUAUUAGCUCUCAAGUUUCAUUCUUCUCAAUUUAUUUAAUUUCCUCCUUCAUUGCAUUUCGUCAUUCCUCUUUUUCAACUGCUUCCUCAAAAUUCAUAGGAUCUGAAAUAAAUAAAGUAAAUGUUGAGUCAUAAAUUUCUAUUAGUAAUCUGAAUUUUCCUGGAGGGGUUUCACUAGAAGAAUCAGAGUCGAGCAUCUUCCACCCGUCGUCGGCGUCCGCUGCCUAGUGUCGGGCUACGUGGUGGACGACGUUUCCGCCGGCGGAAUCACCUACGAGGAAGCAGCUCGAUAGGUCGGUAAGAUCUACAGCGGAGGGGUCAACGUACAAGAGGCCGCCGCCGUCCAGGAAGCGGAGCACAUGAACCCCGUCCUUGUACUGCGUUGGGCACCGAUGCUCCGGCGUGAGGCGGUAGUUGACAGAUAAGGCCCUGUUACUCUUGUGUUCUCUUUUCCAAUCUUUUAAGCAUUUUCGUGAUACUUUGAUUUAUGGAAAAGAAAUAGUUUCGUAUCAAGAAAUUAAAUCUGCACUGAAAUCUAAGGAGCAGAUAGACAGGAAUAUCACUGGGGAAAGUAGAGGGAAUCAGGCUGAGGGUUUGGUUGUCAGGGUAGAAUGGAUAAAAGAGAAUUUGAUAGUAGUAGAUCUAAAUCUAGAUCUAAAUCCAGACAUAAAAAUUUGGAAUGCAGAUAUUGUCAUAAAAUGGGGCACAUUAAGACUGAUUGCUUUAAAUUAAAAAAUAAAUUAAAGCAAAAGGGAAAACUUGUUGAGAAAACUACUGAGUCCGCUGAAGCUAGUGUAGCAUUUGAUGAGAAUGUUGAAAAUAUUUUCUUUGCUAUUGAUGACAGGACGAUAUCUAAAAAUGAAUGGAUUUUAGAUUCGGGUUGUUCGUAUUCCAUAUGUCCUAAUAGGGAUUUGUUUUCCACAUAUGAAUUUGUAAUGGUGGAAUUGUUUUGAUGGGCAAUAAUGCCGCAUGUGAUGUUGUUGGUAGAGGCACAGUCCGAAUUAAAAUGUAUGAUGGUAUUGUGAGGACGCUCACUAAUGUUAGACAUGUUCCUAAUUUAAAAAAGAAUCUCAUCUCUUUAGGCACCCUAGAGGCCCUUGGGUGUAAAUACACAACUGAAUGUGGAGUUAUGAAAGUUUCUAGAAGUGCUCUUGUUGUUAUGAAAGCUUAUAGAUCUGGUAGCUUGUAUAUUCUGCAGGGAACUACUGUCACAGGUUCGGUUGUAGUUUCGUCAUCAUCAUUGUCUGAUUCUGACAUCACCAAAUUAUUACAUAUGCAUUUGGGUCAUAUGAGCGAAAAAGGUUUGAGUAUAUUGAGCAAAAGGGGUCUACUUUACGGAUAGAGUACUGGGCCACUUGAUUUUUGUGAACACUGUAUUUUUGGAAAGCAGAAAAGAGUCAGCUUUACUUCUCCGGUAGUUCACAAAACGAAAGGUACUCUUGACUAUAUUCAUUCAGACCUUUGGGGUCUAGCUCAUGUUCAGUCUAAGGGUGGUGCUAGGUAUAUGUUGACUUUCAUUGACGAUUAUUCCAGGAAAGUUUGGGUUUAUUUUUUGAAGCAUAAAAAUGAUGUUUUUCUAACAUUUAAACAAUGGAAGGCUUUGAUUGAGAAACAAACAGGUAAAUAGAUUAAGCGGCUUCGAACAGAUAAUGGCAUGAAAUUUUGUGAAGGUGACUUUGAAGAAUUCUACAAAAAUGAAGGAAUUGCUCGGCAUCGCACUGUUAGGAUGACACCUCAACAAAAUGGUGUGGUCGAACGUAUGAACAGAAUACUCUUGGAGAGAACAAGGUGUAUGAUCUCAAAUGCAGGGUUGACAAAGGACUUUUGGGCAGAGGCGAUUAAUAUGGCCUGUUACGUUGUCAACCGUGCUCCUUCUACAGCACUCGACUUUAAAACUCCGGAGGAAGUUUGGUCAGGUACUCCUGCUGAUUACUCUGAUUUUAAAAUUUUUGGGUGUCCAGCAUACAUGCAUGUAAAUGAAGGAAAAUUAGAGCCUUGGGCUAAAAAGUGCAUUUUCCUUGGGUAUGCUUCUAGGGUGAAAGGAUACAGAUUAUGGUGUUCUGAUCCCAAAUCUCCAAAAUUUAUAAUCAGUAGAGAUGUUACUUUUGAUGAAUUAUCUAUGUUAUCUUCCAAAGAGAAUCUACUAGUUGUACAAAUGAUAGUGCGCAGAAGCAGGUGGAGCUUGAGAUUUGUAGUUCAGAUUAUUUUAAGUCGAACUCUUUUACUCAAAGAAUGCCAGUAGGUGGUCCCGAGUCUACUGACGCAGAUGAUCCAGAGAAAGAGCAAUAUUCCAUAGCCAAGGAUAGAUCACGGAGAGAUAUUCGACCACCACAAAGAUUUGCAAAUUUGGUUGCAUAUGCUUUGUCUGUUAUAGAAGAGACAAGUGAAGUUGGUGAGCCUACUUCCUACUCAGAUGCAGUUUCUUGUGAUAAUUCCGCUAAGUGGUUGAUUGCGAUGAAUGAAGAAAUUGAAUCUCUUCAUCGGAAUAGAACUUGGGAUCUUGUGAAGCCGCCUUCGGGUAAGAAAAUUGUUGGAUGCAAAUGGGAUAUCAUUGCUGAGAGAAAGGUCCUUGUUCAGAAAAUUCAUACGAAGGACAAUCUAGUUGAUAUGCUUACGAAGCCUCUUCCGGUUUACAAGUUCAAGCAGUGCUUGGACUUGGUUGGUGUUUAUUGUUGGUGAUUGCCCAUUGAGGCUUUUAUGAAGAAGGUGGAGUAAGUUUUGUUGGGACAUGCCAAGGUGGAGAUUUGUUAAUUUGGCAAGUCCCAUAGUCCCACAUCGGGAAAAUUAGGUUUGUUGUCUUGUAUUGGAACUAUAAAUAAGGGUCUGAGCUUUGAAGUCAAAUGCACCACAAGUGGCACCACAAGAAAACCUAAGUAUUUACUUUGGUUUAAGUCCACACUCCAUUAAAUAGUUUGGACUUAUAGUUUGAGUUUUUUUUAUUUAGUAUUUUCGGGUGUUUUAUGGCCUAGGAACAUCUUCCUAAGACAUUUGUAGUAGUCUCUUUUCAUAGUAGUGAUUUGCUCAUCUUUCGUCCGUGGAUGUAAGUCAAAAUUAAUUGACCGAACCACGUAAAUCUGGUGUUCUUGUCACUUUUAUCUUUUCGCUUUAUUGUCUUUGUUGUGUUGCCAAAAUUACCUUGUGAUAAAUUUCCUAAGGCUAACUCUAACAAAAGAAACCAAUGGUUUGUGCAUUGUUGAAUGAGAUGUGGUCGUUCUAUUGUCGGGAGAGAUGAUAUGUUUCUUUUCCAAAACUAAAUUUUCUUCUCCAAAACUAAAUGAUCAUGCGUUUGCGUUCAAAUUAGGUGCCGAGCUAUUGGAGCCGAGGAUUUCAUCAUCAAACCUCUCCACACUAAUGACGUUCUGAGACUGAGAGGCUGCGCUCAAACAGGACUGCCGCCGCCAUCGUCGUCUUCCAAGGCGGGCACCAAUAGGAAAAUGACAAUCAAGUUGAUGGCUGAGAGCGGCGGCGGUGGCUCGGAAAGACGACGGCCGCGCCUUACCGGGCUGGCGAUGACGUGAUAGCAAUCAUCGGCAUCGAACAAGCGUCAUAGGAAGCCUCUCAUAUUGUAAUUACAAUGUAAUGCCUACCACGCGUUCUCGAGUGAGUUUGUUUGCUUGUGGUGUAAGUGGAUGGAUCAUCUGCGAUUCAACUGUUCUUGCUUUGCUCUUCAAAUGCUGUCCUAAUUAAGCUUCUUGAAAGCUCGACAUAUGCUGUUCUAAUCAGUCAAACCGAGGCCGUAGCGGCUUCCCAAG
rnacentral:lncRNA from 1 species